rnacentral:rRNA from 1 species
CACCGCGGUUAUACGAGAGACCCAAGUUGAUAGACACCGGCGUAAAGAGUGGUUAAGACAAACUAGAUACUAAAGCCGAACGCCCUCAGAGCUGUUAUACGCAUCCGAAGGUAAGAAGUUCAACCACGAAAGUGGCUUUAUAUUAUCUGAUCCCACGAAAGCUAAGGCA